GACGAACGCUGGCGGCGUGCCUAACACAUGCAAGUCGAACGAGGUCCAAGGAAGCUUGCUUCCUGACGACCUAGUGGCGAACGGGUGAGUAACACGUGAGAAACCUGCCUCGGAGUGGGGAAUAACUCGGGGAAACUCGCGCUAAUACCGCAUGUCUUCACAUGAUCGCAUGGUCGAGUGAAGCAAGAAUUUCGCUCUGAGAGGGUGUCGCGGCCUAUCAGCUUGUUGGUGGGGUAACGGCCCACCAAGGCAACGACGGGUAGCUGGUUUGAGAGAACGAUCAGCCACACUGGGACUGAGACACGGCCCAGACUCCUACGGGAGGCAGCAGUGGGGAAUCUUGCGCAAUGGGCGAAAGCCUGACGCAGCAACGCCGCGUGCGGGAUGACGGCCUUCGUGGUUGUAAACCGCUUUCAGCGGGGACGAAAAUGACGGUACCUGCAGAAGAAGCCCCGGCUAACUACGUGCCAGCAGCCGCAGUAA
rnacentral:rRNA from 1 species